ACAUGCAGGUAAUGUUUUCUCAUCUCAUCAAAAAUGUGGAAUUUUUGUGUUCACAAAAGUUGGCUACUAUUGACAUCCAGCGGCUGUAUUACUUGGUAUACUCUUUAGAUACUUUCUAUAAUAGAAAGAAAUUAAAAUCAAAUAUAGUGGAAAAAAUACUGAAAGUUUUCUUGCAGUGCCAUGCCAUUACUCCCUUAGAGAAAAGUCAGACUUCUCUGAACAUGACUAUUGUAAAGGAUUGGUGGGAUUUUUUUGUACUAAAGAGGAUAUUUUAUGACCAUACAAAUAUAUUUCUAAUAACUGCUGGGAAAAAGGAUUCUGUGCUCAUGUAAAAAAUGUAACCACCUAACUUUUGUCUGGUUUGGGCAAGAAAUAACGAGAGCCAACAAAGGAUGGGCUCUUGACAGUGUAGUGCUGUGCAAUGAAGUCACUAAAUGGAUGAAGGAUGAUAUCACAAGCCCUCCUUCAGAAGGUGUCUAUGUGUAUGGGCUGUAUUUAGAAGGAGCUGGUUGGGACAGAAGAAACAUGAGACUGACAGAAUCUAAGCCCAAGGUGCUCUUUGAGCUGAUGCGAGUUAUAAGGAUAUAUGCAGAGAAUAACACUGCAAAAGAUCCACGUCUGUAUUCAUGUCCGGUCUACAAAAAGAGCAGUCAAACAGAUCUUAAUUACAUUGCUGCUAUGGAUCUUAAAACCCGUCAGCCUCCAGAGCACUGGGUACUCCGUGGAGUAGCCCUUCUGUGUGAUGUCAAGUAGUGUUAGGAAAAAAAAAAGGUUUAUUUUCUGAUUUUAAAUGCAAACAUUUUUAUGUAGUUAGAUACAGAGUGGAACACUUCUAAAAAUAUUAUUUCUAAAUCAUAGACUCCAUUAUGGUGUUUUUAUAAAAUUAUUCUCAAUAAACUUAUACAAUAGGCUUAUAAAUGGCACAUCUUACAGUGACAUUAACUUUGUGUCUUUGAAAAAUCAUGACAAAUAUUUAGUGCUCCUAUCACUUAUGUGUGCAUAAGCCCUCCUCCUGUGUGCUUAAUUUUACCUUGAAUAAAGAUUAAUUUAUUUGAA